rfam:Prunus persica cultivar Lovell chromosome G5, whole genome shotgun sequence.
AGAUAGUAUUAUUUUGCUAUCUUCGGGCAAUAACACAAUAAUAUGUAAAAAAAUUAUCUUAUAUGUCAUUGCGUUAUUGAUCGAAAAUAGCAAAAAGUUAUAUAUUC